rnacentral:rRNA from 1 species
AUACGGAGGGUGCAAGCGUUAAUCGGAAUUACUGGGCGUAAAGCGUACGUAGGCGGUUCGUUAAGUUAGAUGUGAAAGCCCCGGGCUUAACCUGGGAACUGCAUUUAAAACUGGCGGACUAGAGUUGAGUAGAGGGGAGUGGAAUUUCAGGUGUAGCGGUGAAAUGCGUAGAGAUCUGAAGGAACACCAGUGGCGAAGGCGGCUCCCUGGACUCAAACUGACGCUGAGGUACGAAAGCGUGGGUAGCAAACGGGAUUAGAAACCCUAGUAGUCC